UACGGGGGGGGCAAGCGUUGUUCGGAAUUACUGGGCGUAAAGGGCGUGUAGGUGGCCAACUAAGUCCGACGUGAAAUCCCCAGGCUUAACCUGGGAACUGCGCUUGAAACUAGCGGGCUUGAGUGUGGCAGAGGGGGGUGGAAUUCCACGUGUAGCAGUGAAAUGCGUAGAGAUGUGGAGGAACACCGAUGGCGAAGGCAGCCCCCUGGGUCAACACUGACGCUCAUGCACGAAAGCGUGGGGAGCAAACGGG
rnacentral:rRNA from 1 species